CUACUUUCAGUGACAGGAGAGCAGGCAAGGUAAGGAACCUGGCUUUAUUCUUUACAAACCGUAGAACCUGUCACAACCAGAACCUGCAUAUCCCGGAUCUUCAUGGGGACCCAGGUGACCACCUCUGCUCACAGUCAUCUCAAUCCACUUCCCAAGAACCCAUAAAUGAUCUGAUUAAGGAACAGGAUCAACUGAUGCCCACCUCAACCAUCACAGACCAAGCUCAGCAGCACAGGGCACUGGGUGCAUGGAUAUUGGCUGUGUGACCUUGGGGUAGACCAGACCUGACUCCCUUAUGAAAGAGUUCAGCUCAGGCUUCUGCACGGACGGGGCU
rnacentral:lncRNA from 1 species